AUGGUCUGUGGGAUCUACAAUAUUGCAACGGUGCUCAAAUCCCAACUCAAAUCCGUGAAAACUAAGUUCAAAUCGAAGAAAACCCUCACCAUAAAUCAAAGAGAAAUGAUACUCACGAAGGUCUCGUCCGCGUGCGAGUUUAAGAGGGGGGACAUAGAAUCUUCGCUGCUAGUUUCGCCGUCCUUCCAGGACACCAUUGCUGCGGCGGCCGUCGGCGACAAAUGGGCGGCGGAGGCGGUGGCAAACGCGUUGCGGACAGAGAAGAAGGCGGCCGAGAGAGAGGGGAAUGGACGAAUGGGUCAGGCUGGGUCGGGCCGGCUCGUUAGAAAUCAACCAGGUUUGCUCACCACCAAUCCAGAGUGCUUCGAAGGACUGGUGGCAUGCGCCGAAAAGAUAGGUGUGCCCCGUGGUUAUGGGAUGUUCAGGCACAUGCUGCAUGCUAUUGCAUUUGAUAGCGAGGAGACCAUCACAGCCAGAGUGGAGCACUUGAAGACCACGUUCAUGUGGACGGAUGGUGACGUGGGAAUUGUUGUUUCUAGGUUCCCAUUGAUGCUGACGAGGUCCAAAGAAUCACUGCAGCGUAGGUCUGAGUUCCUCAUCUCCGAGGUGGGCUUGGAACCGGCGUACAUUGCUCAUUGA
rnacentral:rRNA from 1 species